UCCCUGGCGGUCCAGUGGUUAGGACUCUGCACUCCCACUGCAGAGGGAACAGGUUCGAUCCCUGGUCAGGGAA